rnacentral:rRNA from 1 species
ACAGUCAUGAGUAUGACGUAGGUUCAGACCCAAUGCCCUCUAGUGACCUUACACAUGCAAGUAGACCUAUCGGUCUGCGUUCAGGUGAGUAGCACGGGCUUAUCGCCCCUUUAGAUGCAGGUAAUAGGGAACCGUUCCUCCCUUGUCGUGAGGACCAAGUGGUCUUCACCUGGAGGUUCGCACUUAGCCUUAGACCUACACUCCACUAUGGGAGUAGUAAGGAGCACAUGGUACGUCCAGUACCACUACUUCAUAGUAGCAGCAGUGGGGAAUCCUCGACAAUGGCCUAACGGCUGAUCGGGUUAACUAGAAGAGGGCGUCAAGCAUAGCCUGAUAUGCCAGACACAGCCCCUCAACGACGAGAACCAACCUUGAUGGUCUCAAUGGCAGUCCUUACCAAGCGGUGUGCCAGCAGUAGCGGUCACACACCCAGGGCAAGCAUUGGUCCCCAUUGGUCUAAAGCAUCCGUAGGCUUAACAGUCGAGAUGGGUGACUAGACCCUCUCGAAUCGAGUCCCUUCGUAGUGACCUGUAGCAGGCAUAGAGGGUUCAAAUACCAUCACAUGCCUCCGACAGCACAGUAGUCGCUAUGAUCGGACUGACGCUCAGGGAUGACAGCUGCAGUAGCGAAGCGGAUUCGGUACCCGCCUAGUUGCAGCCAUCAACCAUGCCUUCCGUGUAAUCCCACUCAAGUGGGAUUGGACAAGUCAACACCACGAGUAGGCCACCAGCUUAGUACGCUCUCACGAGUGAAACCCAAUACGUUAGACGGUCGUGCACAGGAACAGUGGAUCAUGCCGUCUAAUCGGACGAUACCCCUUCCACCUUACUACGCCUCGAAUGCGCCACUGUAGAGUCAGAAUUGACCUCUCCGUAGCUUCACUACGAGCAGUAGCCACAGGCGUUACAUCGUUGUCGUCAGUUCAUGCUUAGUAGUCGCCUAUUGAGUUAGCUAAUGAACGCAACCCAUGACUAGAGACCCGGUCCUUAGAUCUGACUAUAGAGAGAGAGCAGUAGGCAAGGAACCAAGCUGCCGUCUCAUGACUAGAACGAAGGAGAGAUCGAGAUACCCAUGGUGGUGCCAUCCUAGCACCUAGCGCUUUGACCCAUUAGUGGUGCUAUCUUAGUACCUAGUGGUGAGCACAUGGCUCCUCUUGGUCUCAACCAGAUCCGAUAGUGAUCCAUCGUAGCGAUGCGAUGGGAACGUGGAUGAAGACUAAUCAUCAUGACCCUUAUGGCGUAGGCCACAGGUGUGAUACCAGCCCAUGGUCAGUUAAAGCGGCUAGACCACCUAGUCGCGAAUGACACCCAUGGCUCCAAGAGUCAGCUAUGACUCCUUAAUUGGACUAGCCUCUGCAACCCGAGGCUACGAAACCGGAACUGUCAGUAAUCAGGUAGUAGUGAGACCUGGUGAACUCAACCCUGCACUUCGCACUCAUCACUCAUCAACGGCAGGGAUACGCCAGUCGCUAGUGUUUCCCUUGACUAGUCAAGUAGUGCCUGAUUAGCAAGGGCCAAGCAGACGGCUCAAGGACCUGUGGUAAGUUGAAAUACAGUUCGGGUAGGGGAACCUGCCCGGGUACGUAGACCACC